rnacentral:misc_RNA from 1 species
CAACUAAAUUGAGAACUCGCCGGUCGUUCUCGAUGAGCCACAACUAUUCAAAUUACUCAUAUAAACUUUUUCAGUAUUCAUAAAAAUAACCCAGUGGAUGAUGGAAAUAUUCUAAAUUCUUCUGGAUUCCAAAAUUAAUUCCAAAUUUAGAUGAUAAACUCUCAUGCAACGAGCUCAUCGAACAGCCGAAAAGAUGAGAGCUUCCAGAGUAUACGCUACUGUACAUUGCUCUAUGCAAUGUGCGUCACCUUAUUCUCGACUCUCUUAUUUCUCUAUGGUUUUUUUCCUCUGAAUUACCAAGACGAUGGGAUUGCAAAUAUGCACGAUGUGCCUGAUCAUGUGGAACAUAUAAGGGUCAAUAAUCAACUACUCUAUAAGCCAGUGAUAAAAAAAUUAAUUAUCAUGGUCAUUGACGGACUGAGAUGGGACUUUGUCGCUGGACCAAUUGGUAAAUCUGCAAUGCCUUUUACAAGACAAUUGAUAGGAGACAAUAGUGCCUGCCUAUUACGGACCAAGGUUGGAUUCCCCACGGUGACCAUGCCUAGAAUAAAGGCAAUAACUACUGGCUCUGCCCCAACAUUUGUGGACGUUGUUCUGAACUUUGGCAGUAAAAAGAUAUCGGGAGACAGUCUGCUUUUACAGGCAAAAAAUCAUGGCCACAAAUUAAUAUUUUACGGAGAUGAUACUUGGCUCAAAUUGUUCCCCGAUUUAUUCUAUCGCUCUGAUGGAACUACCUCAUUUUUUGUCACCGAUUAUACGGAGGUUGACAACAAUGUAACUCGACACAUUGAUACAGAGCUUAAUAAAAAAGACUGGUCCAUCAUGGUGAUGCAUUAUCUCGGACUUGACCACAUCGGGCAUACAGGAGGCCCCCACAGUUCAUUGAUAAAACCAAAACUGAAAGAAAUGGAUGAUAUCAUUCGGAAAAUUCAGGCUUAUGUUGCUCAGUCGAAUUCUCAAAACGAGCGAACGCUCUUUGUUGUCUGUGGGGACCAUGGAAUGAGUGACUCAGGGGGUCACGGGGGCAACACACCCCAAGAAGUUUUGGUACCUCUGGUAGCGAUCGGUGCAUCCUGUCCUCAAGAAAGUGAUGAGCCUUUCGAAUUGGCCCAAGUAGAUAUUGGUAGUACACUUGCCGUUAUGCUGGGAAUUCCAAUUCCCGCAUCUAAUCUGGGGAGUAUUUCCAUUGAUCUAUUGAGAGAGCUAUCAAGCUCUGAAAGAUUAUUCAGCCUCUACUAUAAUGCCAAGCAAGUUUUCAAGCACUUCCAAAGUCUGCCAGACCACCAAGAAACAAGAGCUUACAAAGAUUAUGCUGAUGCCAUCAAGUUACAUUCAGCAUGGCUAGAGGGAAGCGGCUCUACAACUGACACUGUUGAUCAAAUAACACAAUCGUAUGUAGAUGCACUCUCAGCAAUGCGCGACAAACUUACGAGCAGCAUGUCCAAAUAUGAUCUUCGCGUUAUGAUCAUUGCAAUGUUUCUGUUGUUUCAUGCUUUGUACAUCGUGACGAAUACCGAACGAGAUACGAAUUUGGGGCCCGUGAAAGUUUUGCUAUUUGUUGUAGUCAAUGGAAUCCUCUGGAAGUUGCUCGAUCAUAUCUUGCCAGACGACUACGAGUCAGCCUUAUUUGCUGAUAAUACAAAUAGCAAUCUACUUCUUGGGCUUGUAACCGUAAUAUUCAUUGCUAAUUGUUGUAUUUGUGCCAACCUCCAGCUCUCUUUCAAACUCAUUAGCAAGCACAUUAAAAAUGGACCCACUGCACUGCACCUGUUGGUAUUAGGCAAUGUGUUUCAUGCGCUGAGCUUAAACAGCAGUAGUUUUGUGGAAGAGGAGCACCGUACUUGGUAUUUUUUCUGGACAACUUUCUGCAUUCUCUUAUUCUACCACAUCGCCAGAUCAAUCGUUGUACAAUCUGCAAGAUAUUAUCACUAUUCCGUUAACGCACAAAUUUGUGUGGAAAUAUUUUUCUGCUUGGUGGCGCAUGCGGUACUUAGGCAUUUGAACAGUACUGGAGAUAUGUACGCACACUUGCCUGAUAUUGCUGAUUGGCUUCAACAAGAGGAAAGCAAAAUCAGCAUGACCGUUCUCCUGGUUUUUGCUUUAGGAUUCUUGGUCUGGUUGGGAUACACUUAUGAGGAAAUAAAAUAUAGAAAAUGUUUAUUGAUGUUGAAUACCUCUGUCGCUAUUUGCAUAUAUCUUCGACACAUGGUCAUUGAAACGGUGUUGGUGCUGCCAUUUUACCCUGCCUCUAGGGUACUCUUUUACAGGGGUAUCUACGAGGUGCACGUCUUCUGGUUACUGAUCUUAAUAUAUUGGAGCAUCGCCUUACUCAGAUUGGGUAUAACAAUAAUAACUAAUAGGAGGAAUUUUCUAUCGUUGCUUCUAAGGUUCAUCAUAGAAUUUUGGGUUACGGUUACAGCGAUGUUACACAGACCUUACAAUGUGGUAUUGUUACCUAUUCAACUUUUAUUCAGCAUUGUAAUUCACCGAGCCCUGAGGGGCUCCGAUAGUCGUGAUAUCGUUGUUCACAUUCAUUACUGGCUUGGCAACAUAUUUUAUUUUUAUCAGGGUAAUUCUAAUAACUUGUCGACAAUCGAUGUCGCUGCAGGAUACGUAGGGAUGGAAAGUUAUAAUCCAUACGUGACAGGCCUCUUCUUGGCUAUUAACACAUAUUCUGCUCCUGUAUUAGCCUACUUGACACUUAUUUAUGGCGUGACACGCAAUCAUAAGAAACAAAAAUCACGAGAUAAUUUUCUAGAUAUCAAUAGAAAAUAUGCCACCUACAGAUUAUUACCGCUAGCGAUGUACACACUAGCAGUUAGCAUACAAAGAUACCAUUUAUUUGUUUGGACGGUAUUUUCUCCGAAACUAUUGUAUGAGGCAAUGUACUGCACGGUCAUGUAUAUCUUGAUGAUUGGGAUGAUGGCAGUUUCUGUCGUUGAUGACCAAAUAAACCAGUAUUAAUCAGAAAUGUAUGUUCCUUGGUACUUUCUGAAGAAAUUUUUGGUACCUAGGUAGCUGAAAUACAUAACUUCUAUAAUGAGUCGCAUAACGAAGGCUGAAGGAACAAAAGAAUUUUGUGAAAUAAUGAAUUGUUUUGCUCAAGGCCCUGACGUUACAUUUAACGUACGGUAUGUGCUAUUCGAAUUUACUGGAAGCCACAACUCCACGUUCAGGAUCGGUGGCACAUUUUUAUGCGAACAUUCCGAUCCGGAUUAUUAUUCUAAAUGGUAUAAAGAAUUCUAUGAAGAUCAUAAGAAUAAAUUCCCUAUUGAAUCUGUGACGAUUUACGUUAAUGAUUCACUGCCUCCAUCAUUUUUGGAACUGUUUACCAAAUAUUUUUCACGAAUAACACCUGGAAAAAAUAUCCCUCUGACAAUAUAUAGCAAUGGCAAUGAUAGUGAGGAUAUGGAAGUAGCUUUGACUGUGACACACCCUGGCUGGAAUUUAGUAAAAUAUAAAAUUACAGACAGCAUCAUUCAUGAAAAAAUUUACAACAGAUUUUCUGUAUAUUUAUACGACGAGAGAAAAGAAUACGUCAACAAACCAUUCGAAAAAAUCAUUGAAACAAUGACUCAUCUGCACCAUUUGGCGAAGUAAAAGAUGUUCAAUAUAUCUAUGGUGAAAGUUGUUCUCUCUGAAGCUAUGCAAGAUCCAAAUAACGGUUUGAAAUAACAUCAUUUUAUUUAUAAAAACGGAAAUACAUGUGCCUAAUCUUGUGUAUAAUAAAAAAUUUCAUAAAUUUUG